ACCCCGGCCCUUUUCAGGGCCACCCACUUCCUCCAGAGAGAGCUAU
rfam:Branchiostoma floridae genomic scaffold BRAFLscaffold_174, whole genome shotgun sequence.